UUAUGGGACUUGUGACAAGGUUGUUGUAACAAGUCCAAUACAGUUAUGAUAUAACAAGUAUGUUACAAGGUUGAUGAGACAAGGUUGUAGCAAUAUUCUUAUAUCAUGACUGUAUCGGACUUGUUGGAAUAAACUUGCAACAAGUCUGGUAU
rnacentral:miRNA from 1 species